rnacentral:lncRNA from 1 species
GCCCUCUCUACACACUAUUUAUGGAAGCGGAUGCAGCCUGAGAUUGCUGGUGUCCAGAGAAGUCCCUGAGCAGUGGGGCAGAACAGUGGCUGUCCUGGGAAGCGCCCGGAACAAUCCCAGACACCUCAGCCCCAACAAGGCCUGUGUUUGGCAACGCGUGCUCGCGUUCACUGCGGAUGAGCUUGGCUGCCUCCAUGUCACAGCCCUUCCACAGGGACAGAAAAGGAGCAUGUGUCAAGAGAGUCUGCCGGAGGAUCUAGGCAGCGUCAGGAAAAAGCGACUGUUAGCGAUGUUUGGAAUUUCUUGGUAGUUUUCGUUCACCUCGUAAACAGGCACUCACGUAAGAGCAUGACUGUGAAGAGCUGAAAUGGGCCCUGGCAGGCAGAGGGGAGAGCCAGGAGAGGCCCCCAGUUCCGCAGCCAGUCUUCCCGGCGAGGCCAGGCAAGCUCCAGACCUGAGUUUCUCCCUCUCAGUUAAUUCCAUGCUGAGGUUCACUUCCAUUUCAGCUGCUUCCCCUCCCAGAGCCUCUCUGCAGGACAUGCCUUUCAAAGGAACCAGCUCAGGACAUCAUUACAAUAUAGAAUCUAUGCCUUACAAAAUACAUACAAAGUUUUCUUUCAGCAAGCCAAGGCCAGAUUGGGAACUGUACAACUGUAAUACUUCACUGCAGUGAUCCAGGGAAGAUGAAAUGUGGCCAUUGGAAGCAUGGUGGGGAGCUGGUUAAAAAGAAAAGAAAGAAGUUCCUACAGCAAAGGAAAACAUGAACUUGAUGGAAAUGGUCUUGGACCCUAGGAUUCUGCCUUGGGAUUUUGGCAAAGGAUUCCAGAGAAGCUCCAUCAAUGGUUUUGGAUGGGAAGGGGUUGCCUGGGUAUAACAAACACAACCACAACUGCAAAACCCCAGAGCUGCGCAAGCCCUGAACCGGACCAUGCCGUCACCCAGCAGAGCCCGAUGCUGACACCGAUGUGCUCCCCAGCACUGGGCACCUGCGGCCUCACCAGGUGAGGCGGGAAACAGUCUCCCGUUCACACGCUCAGAGGCAAGCAGGAGCAGCCCCGGGGUCAUGACACCCCUUGGUGUCUGAGCCACGCUGGAAAGUGGUCCCUUCUCCUUGGGGUGUCUGGCAAUCCCUAGGGAGGAAUCCUCCAAGAACAGGCUGUGGGCUCUGGGAUGGACCACCUGACCCGCGGUGGCCUCCUCGGAGACAUUCAGCUCACACAUGAGGCUUCCAAAGCCGUGCACAGCAGCCUGUCCACAAGUGCCCUAGGAAGACAUCGGGAGGACCAGGGCCCCAAAGCCCCAAGGAGCUGCACACGAGCACCUCCAAUGCACAAUCAGGGCAGGGGAGGCUGCUUCUCUCCUCUUUGUUUUUAAAUAAAGUAGUAAAGUUUUAAAGCUGAGUGAGAACAGGAGAGGCUGGGCAGGACCGGGUAGCUGCACACCAAGUCUGGCAGCUCAGCAGGGGUCAGCAGACACCAAGGGUGGCCUCCCUUCCCGUGGACCCCGGGAACGCGCAAGUCCACUCUUCUGAGUGACAAGGGCCAGGCUAGCCGGCAGGAGGGAGGCCCCUGCCCCAGUGGCGCUCAGGCGUUACUCAGUAGGAAGCUGGAUUGUGCAUCUAAAUUCGGGUACAAAAUUCUCUGGAAUGUGUCCAGGACCAACCCUGGAAAGCUCCCGAAUUAGGAAAGUUAGUCAGAGGAUCUGGACCUUCCUGUGCCAUCCUGAUUUCAAAACCCUGCAGCCCAUGUCUGGAUUCCAGCUUUGAAAGAUAGGGUCACCAAGAGUCACAUGCGGAAAAACUGGGCAGCGAAAGGUGUGGGUGACCAACAAAGCACUUCUCACCGAUCGUGCUGUGACCAACACUUCAAGCCUUAAAACCUUCCAGCCCUGUGCCUCUGACUGAAUGACCUUUUAAAAAUGGGUUAAAAAAAUUCAGUGACACCUGUCAGAAGUCAAAAUAAUCAGGUUGCCUUGUAAACAAAGCCACAGCCAGGAGCUGAGGAACGAGGCCACGCUAGUGCUCAGAUCCUUUCUUCCUGGCGGGCACAUGCUGCCCAGCAGAGGUCCUGCACAAGGUCCCCGGAAGUGCAAUGGCCCUGUGCAGUCCAUCUUAGCACCUUCUCGCAAGAAAGAGGCUGGGUCUUCUGGACACACUGGGCCUGGGGCACUGCCACGCCUUACUUCGGACCCCAACCAGCCACCAGCCCUGUCUGUGUGUCCCACCCUCACUGCCGUCACUGGUCUGGGCCACUGCCCGGGCACAGGGAGGUCUGGAGUCACCAGUGUGUAGAUGUCUGCACCUGGAGACUACACCGUGGCAAGUCCCACACCUGCCCCUAUGCAGGGGCUAAUAAAUUCGAGGGUGGGAUGGGGAUCUUGUACCUCAAGUCUCAUGGGUGGGGAUGUGGCAGGGUGCAGUUAGGGCACCUCCAGGACACCAUGCUCCCAGCAAGGGCACCUCGCCCAUCACUACAUAGCACCCAUCGAGAGGACACCCCCCCCCCCCGUGGCAGGGGCUGUGUCCAUCUGCGUGUCUGUAUGGCUGUAGGACUCAGGAGGCAUUCGGGGAGCUGACAACUGUUCCCCUGAUAUGGCUGACACCAGGAAGGGUUUUCCUGUCCAGGACACCAGCUGAUCCAGAAUCGCUCUGAGAUCUUCGUAGGGAAUCUCUUCCUCCACUUAGGCACCCUUCAUUUGGAGAUUUCUGCCUCCUCUGCCUCUGUGGCCCCUUAAGAAUUGAAGCCUGCCCCCAAAUAAAGGUUUGAUUUUUUUCACUGAUUUCUAGGAGCCCCUUCAGUUCCUUAACCCCACUGAAAGCAGCAAGCCUACUCAUAAAUCACACAAAGGCCCUGAAACAGACCCAGGCUGGGAAGACACGACACUCAGAAGGCAACCCUGUGUCAAGAUGAGAUGGAAACCGGCUCAUGAGAAACCUUCUGAACAGUCCCCCCGGCCCCCGAGAUGAGAUGAAUUUAAACCCCAGAUGGCUCAGGAGGGUCCAGCCAGAUGCCCAGAGGACUCCCUCCAGGUACCCUGUCCCCAUUUCCCAGGCCAGGCUGAGGCUGAAGGACCACACCCUGCCAUUAAGGAGAACCACUUUGGGAGUGAAGACACACUCAUCUGCCAAAAAUAGCCAAUGCCUGCAUAUUUCUGUUUUAAGGCAAUGUUACCCUUCCAUCUAUCAGACGGAACAGCCCUGGGUCGUUCAGAGGAAAAAUUAAAUUAAGUGCUCUCUUUGGAAACAGCCUAUGCCCACUUCCCCUCCCCCACCCCACCCCACUCUAAAACAAACCAGCUCUUUCUUUUAUUCCAAGAUGACUGGGUUUAGAGUCCUUUUUCCCCUCUUCCCGUGUGGAGACAGAUAUGGAAUUUGAAAACCUCCUCCUGUGACACUGGGCAGAUCACAAGGAGAUGCCCGGCUCCUCCUGUAGGGAGACACAUUCUCCCUCUUCUGCCUUCACAAUCAUAGAUAUGGGGGCACCAAAGGACUUUGGAAUAAAAUUCCUGAACCUGGAAUGUGAAUUCCUGAGACAUGAAAUGUGUUCAGAGGGUGGCUUUCUCCGCCUCACACAGAAACAGCUUUGGGAGGGACCUCACUUUGGAACCAACUGGGCAUGAAGAUCGUCAUACCCCAAGCACCCAGGGCUCUCUCUCUUCAUCAA